rnacentral:rRNA from 1 species
GUGCCAGCAGCCGCGGUAAUACGUAAGGGGCGAGCGUUGUCCGGAAUUAUUGGGCGUAAAGAGUGCGUAGGCGGCAAAUUAAGUCAGAUGUGAAAACUAAGGGCUCAGCCCAUAGAUUGCAUCUGAAACUAUAUGCUUGAGUCAAGGAGAGGAAAGUGGAAUUCCUAGUGUAGCGGUGGAAUGCGUAGAUAUUAGGAGGAAUACCGGUGGCGAAGGCGACUUUCUGGACUUGUACUGACGCUGAGGCACGAAAGCGUGGGGAGCAAACAGGAUUAGAUACCCUGGUAGUCCACGCCGUAAACGAUGAGUGCUAGGUGUCUGCUCAUAAGAGUAGGUGCCGUACGUUAACACAAUAAGCACUCCGCCUGGGGAGUACGUACGCAAGUAUGAAACUCAAAGGAAUUGACGG